rnacentral:lncRNA from 1 species
CUUAGUAAUGGGCUUUCUUUUCUUGUCAAGCUUCUCCUUCUUAGCCUUCACGCGCUGCUCCUCAGCCAAAAGAGACAUUCUCCUUGCGGUUUUAGCAUAAGGAUUCAACUUUAGCAAAGUGUUCAGGUUUUUGAGAGGGUUCUUUUUCAUCGGAGCCCUCUUGGCAUCCUUCUUGAUAGGCCUGACGACUGACUGAACCUCAUCAGAAUUUAUGAUCCUAGCCAAGUCAGCAUUCAACAUCUUCGACCUCGGCAGCACGUAUCCCUUCUUCUUCUCCGAGAGCUUGUCAAACGACCCGUAAAUCGAGUCGAGCUUCUCGAAAGCGGACUUGGUCCAGAUCACAAACCGACCCAAAUGCCCACCAGGAGCGAGCUUCAGCAGGUUGAGCCUCUCCACAUUGAUAAUCUCGACACCGGGGAGGUUCCUGAAAGCCUUCACCAGCUUAGCCCCUUCAGUUCCGUACACAAUCAGAGGUCCCUUGCGGUUGAUGUACCUCCUGUUCCUCAUCUUACCCUUUCCAGGGCGAAUCGCGUGGCUGUCCUUUGCCUUCUCGGCGUCGGCGUAAGCCCCAAUCUGCUUCAGAAGCUUCAGAGCAGCCGAAGUCUUCUCCACGCCCUCAGCCGAGUCGCUGACAACAAGAGGAAGCUCCGGAACGGUCUCGAUUUUGUGACCGCGGGCCAUGACCAGAGAGGGAACGGCAGAAGCCGCAAUCGCCGAAACGAUGGCGUAUCGCUUCUGGUUCACGUUGAUCCUUCGGUGCCAGCGGCGCCAGAUCUUGGUGGGAGCGAACAUGCGCCCGCCACGGCACAUGUUUCCGAAGGCUCCCUGCCCGGCGCGGUGGGUCCCGCCACCGGGAACACGAGGGAUACGCGAGACGGCGCGUCCAGUUCCCCAGGACUCGGCUGAGGUCUGGUGACCGGCCUUCUUGGAAACCGCGUAGGGCUGGCGGCUGUUGUUCGACAUUUGGGAGUGGACGGCUGUGACGACGUCGGGGCGGAUCGGCACCUUCAUGACGUCGGGUAAGGCGACGGUCUGGCACUGAUCGGUGGCCAUGUCGCCGUCAAGGGUUUGGACAGUGACGAGGGGGCGAGCGGCGGCGGCCAUUUCUAAGAGUGCGUGGAGUGUGAGAGAUGCGGUGUGAGGGUUUAGGGUUGUGACAAAUGAGUUUAAACUUGAUUUUAUACCUAAAAUGUUUUGGGCCGUAGGGUUUUUUCAGGGUUGGACGCCCCUUUUUCUUUUUUUCUUUUUUGUUCUAAUUUUUUGGUAAUUUCGAAAAUAAAAUUAAGGUAAUUUGAAUUUCUUACAUAUUUUUUUGGGUCAAUAAAUUAUAUUCUUACAUUCAAUUCUGUAUUCUUCUUAUUUUGUGAAAUGCUAAAAAAUUGUUGAAUAUUAUCAAUUUUUGUUAAAAAAAUAAAUAAUUUUCUUUGAAGUUAUAGCAUAUAAUGGGCCAGAUCAGGUAGGCUAGAGCAGUUGGGCCUCAUAAUGUUUGUGGGCCUUGUGACAUAUGAUAGGAAAAAUAAGAAAAUUGUAGCAAUGGUCUAUCAACUAAAAAUUCAAAAUCAUUGGUCCCUUAACUCAACAAAAUGUAUAGCUAUGGUCAUUUUCGUCAACUUCACUAAAACUUCUAUUAAAAUAAGUCACAUGCCACGCACGUGAAAUCAGAAUUAAGGGGCAAAUAUGGGAAACUAAUUGUUGAAAUGGUCCUUCCAACUUUAAUACAAUUGAAGAAAUGGUCCCUUAACCUUAAUCCAAUUGCAGCAAUGGUUUUACAACUUUAACUCAAUUGUAGCAAUGAUUCUUCCAACAUGACUCGUUUUGACGAAAGUCCUGACGAAUCUGACGAAAUUGAUCAUGACUGCACAUUUUGAGGAGUUCAAGGACCAUUAGUCAUGAAUUUUUAGUUGAUGAACUAUUGCUCCAAUUUGGUUAAAAUUGAGGAACCAUUGCUACAAUUUCCUCUAUAAACAAACACAAUUUGAAAUAAAAAAAAAAUUAAAUAACCCUGUUAUUUUCUUGAUGAGGUCUUGAUAUUGAAAAUAUUGACCAAAGGCAUUCUUAAUGUUGAAAUGACCAUUUGAUUGAUAUGAUAUUACCUCUAAUGCAUUAGGGAUUUUGAAGAGAAUGCGACACUGGAGAAGAUCAAUGGUACCAUUAUUUUGAUACAACGAUGUUGAAGGGGAAGGAAUUUAACUCAAGACAUCACGUCAGACUGAUAAAUGCUAUUAGCGAGCUCAGCUUCAAGAAUUUGGAUUCUCCGUUGUCGUAGUUAAAUUUGUUUGAGGCACAAGAUGCAAACCUAUUGUUGUUGCCUUAACAGAAAACGUAAAGAGAAGAGAGAAAGAAAGAAGAGAAAACUACAACUAAGCACAUGUUACACGAUAUGCAUACUUGUCUGGAAGGCCUGGACAAAACCGGGGAUACGAAUAAAUCAUCCAUUGAGGCCACCAGACAAUUUAGAUCCUUUUGCACAGCUUGAAAACCAGUUCAAAUGUUUCUUCCUUUCAGAAUCCUCUAACGCUGUAUGCAUUGUGUCUGCAGAACUACAUUCCUAACAUCGGAUUUGGCAUUUUCUGUUCUAGAACCACUACACUUUUGCUCCAAAACACACACCAGUCAGCGGGUGUAACUACGAAGAAGUUCAUCAUGACAGAGGGUUAUUCAGCUUCGCGGCGACGAUUCCUGCAGCUACUGUUUUCGUAGGACAUCAUGUGAUACCAGGACCUUCCUCUGAACCAAAAUACACAUGAUUAAUUAGUCAAAAUUAAAGAAAAUCACAAGUUUUAAAAAAGACUAAAAUCUUAAGGAAUAAGGCAAACCAAAUGAGAAGUUGGGACAUUUGAUGAAUAAAGAGAGGAUGCUGAUAGGCUUCAUUAAGAGUUAAUCGAACUCUCAAGAUUUGGAAGUGUUUUCUCAGGAAGAACAGCUCACGAAAAGUUCAAUUUUUUUUUUGUCAUGCAUGUAAAGUUUUAUUGAAACUUCUAAUUUGAGCAUUUUCAGAGUCAUCUUUCACCAGUCUCUUUAUUUUACGCAUCAUUUUUCUCUAAGAUAGCAUGUGAAAUUUAUAGUUAAGGUCACACUCAUUACUGAUAGCAGCACUAUUUGAUUCUCAUAACAAAUUUAAACAUGAGAAAAGAGAUCCAGUUCAGGGAGAUCGAAACUCUGUUGUUACGAUAACAAAGAGAAUACAUCAGCAAUCCAAAAGCUAGCAAAUGCGUAAACUAGCAAAACUGGAAUUUUUUUUCUUGUCGUAAUGUAAACAUAACUAGUUAAAUGGGUAAUUUUUGUGAAAGAAAAACAAUAUCCACAUUGCUUUUUAUACCUAAAUCUAGAAGGAGAUUGGAAUUGACAAGGAUAACUGAGAAACAAUAGAAACGUAUGCCUAACUGCGAAGAAAAGUUACAUCACACGACACUACGAUUGUAAUAGCACAAAAUAGUAAGAAUUACCAUUGGCUCAAAGUCCGGACUGGACAAGUUGAAGCUGAGAUUCCUCAUUAACAACAGAACCUGCAGAAAUAACAAAAUUUAACUACAGGCGCAUUGAUUCGUAGUAACUAUUCUCAUCCCACUGUUACUUGUUAAUAUUAGAAACCGUCAAGAAACAAAUUGCUAAAAGCGAUGUAAUUUCAUUCAACUCACAGUUUCAAAAUUAAUGGGAUUCAUUUCCCUGAGUUUCUGAGCAUGACCUUUUGUUUCUGGAUCAAAAACACUCCCGAUGAAGCUAUAAACUUCGGCAAAAUCAGGGAGACCUGCAAAAUAGUAAAACAUAUACAUAUAUCAUGAAUGUUCCACCAUAAAUUUUCUUGAAACUCAAAGUCGAGAACAGAUAUAGUCAGCAGUUGCAGUCUGAUGAUCACCAUGAUGCCCAGGAGCUUGUUUCCCCUUGAUUUGGUAUCUCGGAACUUGGCAGGGGGCCACUAAGACUGCAUGUGUUAAUCCUUGAUAACCCCUUUGAUCCAAUGUCAGCUGAAUCAGUUACGCCGAACCCCAUAAUAAGCGCUGGAAAGUUCUCGACAAAGCUAUUCUGCCGUAAGCAUAUCAAGCAAAACAACUAGAAAAAUAGAAUAUACCUUCAGUUCCAUGAAGAUUAGUAAAUUCUUCAUGUGACAACAGAAUUUGGUCGGAUGCAGGGUUUGUCAAAAUGGAAGUUUCAUCCCAAGGAGAAUAGGUAGAUGCAAUUGCGUUCAUUGAAGAAGGAUAAGCAAUGGAUGCUUGCAACGGAAGUAAACCUGCCAAUUCCGAUAUUGAACAAUUAAAAGUGAAAACAAUUAAGGUUUAAGCUUUAGAAAGACACAAUGCCACUAUCUUUUAACAAUGGAGAACCAUUUUUGGAGGCCUUUUGCGGGUAAGGAUGAGCAGCCUUGCGCUUUGGCCGCGGAGGAGGCACGUGUGCUGUUGUCCCGCUCUUUUGAACUUUCAAGAAGUACUUCUGGGCGUGACUCCUAAUCUGCAAGACCCCAAUCUCAUAAACCCCCAAUUCAUACUAACUUCAAACUAAAAAGCAGAAAAAACACUUGGUCCAAACCUGAAUAACCGUUUUCGAACCUACAAAAUCUUCGAUUUUCUUCCAGUCUCUAUCAAACCUGAAAAUCCCACCGGAACUUCAAUAACACUAAACAUCAAAUGACAAAAUCUACAGUUUUACACAUUAAAAUCUCCCAUUACAUUACUCUGUUCACGAUUCUAAAAAAUAAAGUGAGAACAAAAUUGGAGCAAAAGAAUAUUAAAGUUCAGAAAUUUGGAAAAUUCAAAUAAAACCCACAACGCAAAACAAGAAGUUAAAGCACACCACAACACAGCUACACAAAAAGCAAUUAAAGCCAAUAAGCAAUCAAGUAAACUGAAACAGAAAUAGGCAGGUGGUGGACUGCCGUGGUGGAUAAGGCUUUCAUCUUCAACCCACUACGUCCGGGUUCAAACCCUCCUUUUCCCGUAGUUUUGAUGAACUUAGUGUAGAUUAUCCAACCGUUUGUCGGAAAAAACAAAGAAAACAGAAUUGAAUGCUUGAAAGUAAAAAGACAACGAAUAGAGGAAGAACUGACAGUUGAAGAGCUUCGAGGAACUUGUCGUGCUCUUCGUCGGUCCAGCUUUCUCUGGACUUGGUGAUGGUGUAUGGCUUCCGGACCUUCUUCCCCGACCCGUCUGAGGACGGCUUCAACACCGUGCCCAUUGACGAUUGGGGGUUGGUGGAGGCAGUGGAGUUCAUGUGACUGAAUGAAUGAAUGUGCAUGUGAGAGAGAGAGAGAGAGAGAGAGAGAGAGUUUGUGGCGCGCGGGGGUUCUGAGGGACUGUGUGUUCCAAAAUGCGUGGUGGUGGCAUGCGAGUGAAUUGAGGCCGCCCAAUUAUUUGGUCACCGUCUUCUCUUCUUCCUCCACUCAAUUAAUCGUCCCGCGUCUUUGCUUUUACAAGUUUUUACUGCGGGGACAAGUAUAUAGCACUGGUUUGAAACUUCCUCGGUACACCUUUUUGGUCUUUACGGCACCAUCACUGUCACGUGUUAGUUAUCUAUUGAUAGACAAUAAUACAGGUACGCCGUGUUACCAAUCUAUACACGUUAUAACACGCGUAUUUUGUCUAUGAUACGUAAAUUAAAUAAUAUUACAUGAUUGUGUGUAACAGUCACGUACGAAAAAUUUCCAACUUUACUAAAGAUUUUACUUCUAUAAGAAAUGCCACAAGUGAUGGGGACAAUAAGCGUUAUACAAAUGAAAUUGUAUACAAACUCUUAUUUUUAUCCAAUCGGGUUGACAUGAACGUCAUUAGUACUAUAAUCUAGUGGUAAGUAAGAGGUCUUAUAAGUUCAACUCAUGCAAAUGGCAAGUUCUAUAUUAAAUUAUAUUAGCUCCCAUUGUAUGGUUUAUUCCAAACUUCCACAUGUUUAAAUAUCAUUAUAUAUGGGAAAAUUAGAUUCACAUCAUUCUUUUUGUUAUUCCAUUGAUUAAAAUCCUAUUCAUUUUCAAUUUUUGAUCAAGGUCCUUAGGUAUUAAUAACAUCAUUAAUUAUUUGAAUAAUAAAAUAUUUUUAUUUUUAAAUAUAUUCCUUUAAUGAUAAAAAUGUUACAAUUAGUAUAUUUAUAUUUAUGGCUAAAAUUUUUAUCAUAUAUUUUUAUUUUUAGUUUGUACUAUUUUAAUUUGCAAAUAUUUUUAAUUUGUACCAAUUUUCUUUCAUUUUUAAUUUGUACCCAUUAUUAGUUUCUUUUUGUGCCCAUAUUUUUUUAAAGUUUUAUUUGCGUUUGUACCCAUGUGUAUACCGUCACGUGACAUUUAAUCAAUGAUAGAAAAAUUACAUAUGGUAUAUUUAUAUUUUAUUCCUAAACUUUGUAUCAUAUAUUUAUAUUUUUAGUUUGUACCCACUUUUAAUUUGCAACAUUUUUUUUUUAAUUUGUAGUAUUUUCUUUUAGUUUAUUUUACCCAUGUAUUAAUUUCUUUUAGCGCCUAUAUUUUUAAAAAUUCAUUUGUAUUCAUAAUUUAUAAUCUUUUAUAUGUACCCUAAUUUAUUUCUAAUGUAGCCAUUCUUCUUUAUUAAUGUACCACUUUGUUAUAUGUGAAAUGUACCAAUUUGUUUGUAAAAUGUACCAAUUUUUUUAACACUAUGGAUACAUUAUUUUGCUAUUUAUUAUUUAUUAUUUUUACAUAGUUUUUAUCCAUUUAUUCAAUCAAAAAGUUUGAAUUUUUUUAUUGUAAACAUUUUUAAUAGUAUUAUAAUGAGGGAUUUUAAACUUAUAGGAUUAUAAAUCUAAUAAAAUAUCAAACAAUUAAUGUCAAAACUAUAAAACUAUAAAUAUUAAUAGUAAUAUAAUGAGGUGUACAAAGUCAAGGGACCUUGAUCAAACUUUGAAUAUUAUUAAGAUUUUAAUCAAAGAAUGUUGAGGAUUAGAGAUCGCAUCCAAAAUAUCUCUAUUUUUUAUAUUUUAUUACAAGCGGUAAUUUACACUAAUCAAUACUAAAAUCAAAAGGGUCAUCAUUUGCAAAAAUAUAGAAGGCAAAUUCCACCAAAGGGUUCUAUUAUAUGGUACCAGAGCAAGGCAUCAUAGCGGGUAUGACAGCGAGCUUAGCAUGAGUUAUGACUUCACGAUUACGAAUGGAAUCAAGUCUGGGCAAAUGAUCAGAUGGUUUGAAAACUAAUAAUAACCAAAGAAAAUGGUAGGCUCUACAUACUUAGCUUAAUCAAAUUAGUUAGAGCAUUGUGCUCAAUCUCUUUACACUAAAUUCGAAUCUUUCUGCGUAUUGAUUAGUUAAAUAAGUUUAGGUACAUAUAUUUCGGUACACUAGUUUAGUAUAAUAUAUUUAGGUACUGACAUUUCGGUACACUAGUUUAGUAUCAUAUAGUUAGGUACGGAAUUUUCGGUACACUUACAGUUUUACAUAUUUUCUUACGUGUCACUAGUUCAUUACAAUAUAUUUAGGUACGGGCAUUUUGGUACACUAAUUUAGUAAAAUAUAUUAUGAUACGGACAUUUAGGUACUCUAAUUAGAGAAAGUUAAAUAAAAUUAAUGAAUUAAAAUGUGUAUAAUAAUAAAUUUAAAAUUUAAAGUAAUAACAUUAAAUAAGUUAUCUAUUAAAUAUAAGAACAAAAAUAUAAUAUGAAUUUGAAUUAAGUACAUAUUAAGGACAAAAAUCAAUAUUUAAUUUAACAUUAAGUUUUUAUUAAAUUUUAAUCUCCUUAAAGGAUUAAAGUUCAAAAACCUCUAAAAAAAUAACAAAUGAAAAAGCUUCUAAAGAAAAAGUUGUUCGAGUUAAUUGGAUAGUAAAACAUUAGCCACAAAGAAAGUACAUUGUUUUACAUCAAAUAGUAUAAAUAAACACGUGUAACAUUAUUAUUGUCUGCUAGCGUCUGUGUAGACGAAUUCUUGGUUGGCCUCAAAUCGAGCAAAAAUAUUAAUCGCAGCCGAUUUUGUGCUGAUGCUACAUGCAACUCCCUCCUGUCCACAACUAUGAUUGCCUGAUUCCGAGAGAGUCAUUGGUGGGGACAGCCGCGCCAUGUCACCAGGUACGACUGCCACUCACCACUUCCUUUCUUUUCAGAAUUUGUUUAGUUGUUUUGAAGAGAAAUCGUGAAUGGUGCGUUUGUUUGCCCUCAUUAGUUAUUAUUGGACUGGACUGAACUAACACUUAAUCCAGUCUCAUGUUUGGUUUAAUGAGAUUAGAUGGGACUCGCAGGGACUAACGGCGUUGCUAGGAGGUCUUAGCGAGAUCCCCAAAAUGCUUCGGACCACUACGACCGUCUCUUGCGUUCGCCUUCAACUGGGUUUGACGGAAACAAAUCUAAGAUAUCCAAGUCUGUCUCGAAUUUCUUCACUAAAAAUUGCCAUCGUUUCUACGAGUGAAGUCGGAACGGCCAUGACAGACUUUGAAGAGGUUCCUGUAGCCCCACAAGAAAUCUAAGCGUUCCAACCCCAAGCCACUGUUGUCUCUCACUCCCCCAACUCCACAAACCCCGACUCCCAACCGCUUACCUCGCCAGGCCUCUGAGAAUUGAAAAAAACCCCAAAUCUGGGAAUUGCAAAAAUACCACAUCUGGGAAUUGCAUAACACCCAAAGAGAAGGGCAAGAGGUGGAAAGGGAAGGAGAAGGUUUGACUAAGCUUGAAAUUGGGAGAAGAAAAAUGAAAGGGAGAGAGAGAGAGGACAAAGAUGCAGAGCAGAGUUCAAUUUGACGGAAACGAUGGGAUACAUGAGAAAUGAAAGUAAAGAUACAUAGAGUGGAGAGAGAGUGAGUGAGAAAAAAAAAUUGUAGAUUAAUAAUAGUAAAAUAUUAGUAAAUAUGAAUUAAAAUUUUGAAAAACAAUUGAAUUUAAAAAAAAAAAAAGUUCUUGACUUAGUCCGACACUGCAACCAUCGCGUCACUAAGCCAGUCCAGCUUAGUCCUUGAAGCCAGUUCAGUUCGAGACAGUCUAGUGCAACAAACACACCCUAAGUGUCUAAACAUAUUUGCUGUCAGCCAUUGCAGUAAAGUGUCAUAUGCAGGGGAUUUGAGAGAGAAGGGCUAAGGAACUCCACUAGAAAAUUUACCUCAUAAAAGAUAUCAAAGCUUGGGAUGAUAUUGCGGAAGUAUUUCAAAUCAAUCUUAUAUUGUAAUGUGUUUUAACUUGACAGUGCGUUUUUAACUUUAGAUACUACCACAAUAGCAUCUAGAUAAUAAGUAAUAGAAAAAUGUUGACUAUUCUCAGUGUCACGGUAUGAAUGAGACGCUUAAUUUGAUUUAUCUCUCACUCAUCACAAGAUUCACAACAUUUCAGAGGUUUCACAACAAAUACAGUUAGAUUAAAAAUCAUAACAAAAGUGAAUAAACAAAUACUCCCAAACAAGAUGGUAAAAUCAGUAUUGGAAGCAUCCCUAUAUUAUUCUCAUUAUCAUUUUUAAUUAGUGUGACAGUGGGACUGCCUCUUACUUACUAUGAAUAUAUAACAAUGCACAUACACAUAAUAUGAGUGGAUUGAUAAGUCAUAUGAUGGCGAUAUGAGUAAAUUAAUAAUAUUAUUUGACAGUAUUUCGAUGAUAGUUACACCAAAAAAAUUUAUCAAAAAGAAAAUGAAACCACAAAUAAAAAAGCACAUUGAAAUGAGAAUAGAGCAUGUACAAAGAAAGAGGGAUGAGUUAGGAUCAGAGUAGUUACAAAAUUUGCUUCCACCCAUUGUAACCACAAAAUAGAAGAAACUUUUAUAGCAAGAGUUCAUUACAAAUUAAUUUGAUUCCUUAAGCUUUAGUGGUGAUUUCACUUUGGUCCUCAAAAAUCUUGCCGUACAAAGUUGUCAACAAUUCGUGAAUUAUAUAAUUUGCCAAGAUUAGCGGUCGACUAUUUCAACAAAAACAAAAAAACUCUUUGACAUCACAUCCUUGUAACACCGAAACGACCACUUAGAUUGUGACAUGUGUAAACAUAUCUAAAUACCAUUUGAUCAAAUCGAUUAUUACCUAAGGUGAAAAGUAUCUUUUCUAGUACAAACAAUAUUACCUACUCCUAAAAUAUAAGUAUUCACGUGCUAGAGAUGAACAAUGUAUAUUUUUCUUACAGUAAUGCCUUUAAAGUAGUCACAUGUUAUGUUGUUAACUUUUGUAAUGAAGUUCAAUUUAUGCCCUUAUUAAAUGCACAUUGAAAAGGGUACGGAUUUAGGAUUUAGGAUUUAGGGACCAAUUUGAGACAGAAAAAAAUUGAAGGACCAAAGAGAAGAAAGCUCAAAAGUUUAGGGAAAUUAUGAAGUUUCAAAUUUAAAGCGAUGUAAAAUUAGGACACGUGUCAAAGGGAAAGACGGCAAGGGAGAAUUAGAGGCUGGCAAAUCUCCCAGUGUGAUAAGACGGUACGGAAAUGUUAAGCCAUGAGAUGAUCAGCCUGCAGCAGGUUUGCAUUGGAUUGGAAUAUUCUUUUGGUUUCUGGGAUGUGCUGCUGCAAAUGGAUAUUCAAGCUCGAAUAGGAAGCUUAUCAUCCUCCUCUCACAACUUUCGGACCUCUCGAAAACAUAACUCUUCAUCUUCUUGUCCAUCUUCUUGCUACUCGCCAUUGAAGCCCUUGUGUUCCAGAAGGGAUUCUCAGGAGCCCCAACAAAACGGUGACAACAAGGGUAUGCUUACUAACUGCAGCUUUACUAAAUGAUAUAAUUAGCUUUUAAUUACUAUUAGUUAACUUAACUUUUGUAUUUGUUAAUUAUCAGCUUCUGGAUGUAAGAAUUACUUCAAGUGUGAUGUGCUUCUGAUUAUUUUGCAUUUCCCAUCAAGUUUUGGUUUGGUCAUCGCUUGACCGUUGGUGCUGUUUGGAAUUUUGGAUGAGUUGGAUUUACCAGUUUUAAUUAAGAUUAUUAGCUUAUUAAUUCAUUGUUCAUCUUUCGGGUUUCUGAAGGAAGUUGAGGUCGACCAAAAAAUUCUGGAAUUGGAGUGUGACUUAAUUCGUUAUAAGUCCCUGAGACAAUUCUUCACAUUCUCACAGUUUCGUUACAAUGAGUUGCAUGCUAUUCUAAUUAAACCAAAGAAUACACUAGGAAUGGCAGUGAGAUUCAUGUCUUAACAUUAUGCAUAUGGAUGAUAUAAUGAUCUUGUUUUAAAAGGUAAUUAAAGGAGAGAGAGGGUUAAAAGAAAGUUUCAUCAGUCGGUAGUAUGUAUGCGCUCUCAACUCUCACAACCGCUUCAUCACUCAAAAGCAAUAUUCGAUGGAUAGAUGUGAGAGAGCGGCUUAUACAACCACCCACCCUCUUAAUUUGGCCCAAUCUCAAUGGUAAUAUAUCAUGUUCUUUGCCACUAUUAAGUGGUUACCAACUAGCUCUUAGUCGUUGCUAUUUCUUUUCUCAGCGAACAAGAAGUCCUCUUAAGUUUGAAUUCUCAAGGUGAUUUAGCUGCUUCUAACCAUAAAACUGACCAUAUGGUGGUUGAAUGUCGAUCAUCCAAAUACCUCCUCAGGUGAUAAAUUCUCAACAGAUUGGGACAAGGCAUGGGCAAACAUAAGGAAACAAGGCAAAAACAAAAGGAAGGGUGGCUUCUUCUCAGGGUUUUCUUCUCCAAACAAGUACGUGAGCUGGAACCCUAGGCAGUCCAAUUACCCACUGUCUGAGGAGGUUGAUCCAAUCAAGAGGACAGAAAGGUCCAACCUCAUGCUAUGGACUAGUCAAGGUUUACCCUAGCAGGAGCCAUUGUUAUUGUCACCUUCCUUUUGGUAUACACCAUUCUUUAUCCACUUAAGUAAUUUCACUUCUUCAAGAAACACGACAAACACAGGGCUUCAUGUUGUAAAUAUGAUUGUGAUUUCCUAUGAGGAAAUGGCUAGUUGGAAAAGGAAUUCUGAAUAUGAUUAUUAUAAAUAAAUGAAAGUUCUUACUUCUUCAGCUCAGGUUUGCAUAUGUAGUUUAUCAAUUUGGCAUUACUUUACAUUGAUAUUGGUAAGGAAUCAGAUUCUAGUUGAUGAGUGAGCUUCAAUUCAAGGAUUCUCAAAUAAGUUUAUUAGAGGGACACUUAUGUAGAGUCACUCGGCAUUGUAUUUCAAUUAUCCGAACUGUCUAUUUUGGUAUUUCCUCAAAGAUCAUCGUUGCGAAAAAGUACUCAAGUCCAAAAUCAUCUAACCACUUUAAUUAAAUGGUUUCAUUUUAGUGUUUUCUUGAAAUAUUGUACGUGUUCAUCUAUUUAUUUAUUUUUCAUGCAACCAAAAUCUCUUAACGGUUUCCUAUUUGUCUAAAAUUUUGCAAUAAUGAUGUAUGAUUGAAGACAAUUCCAGUGUAAUUAUACAAACAAAUGUUUUUCAAUGACUCGGUUCACAAUCAAAGGCAAUGGACUAUAUGGUAUGUACGUAUACGUUGAGCAGAUGACUAGAUCACAAAAACACUUUAUCAAUACCUUUGCUUUUGAGAGAUUCUGCCUCGUCACCUAAUGUACACACCUAAUAUGAGUAUCUCACUCAUUAGGCAGGCAUAUGCACUCAGUGACAUCCGAUAUUUUCUCCUUGAGUAAUUCACAAUUACAAAAGAAUGUAAGGUCACUAUUAUAUCAAAAUAUGCCUCCCUCUUAGCUAUUGACAGUUUUUUACAGCCAAAAAAGCAGAAAGAGAUAAGCACAUGUGCAAAACAAAUUAACAAACACAUUCAUUUAGGAUUACAGGUUAGAAUCCACUGAUAUCAUACGCGGUGAACAGAAAAAACCCGAAUGUUGGUGAUGACGAAGAGAACGAUGUGAUAGUUUGGUCUUUGAGAGAGAUAAACUCAUGUUAGCACAGUGUAAACCAUAUAGAUUUGGUAAUCAUCAUGUCUAAAGGAUCAGCUCUAAGGCAGAACCAGAAAACCCCAGCAGUCGUCGCUAAGUUUUCCACUAGCCUAAGCAAACCCUCGUGUCUUAUUAUUGUCCUAUCCUAUUGUACUUCCACUUGUUUGUGUUCCCUUCACCAGAAGAUGACAUCUAUUAGGGUUUGUCUGCGUUGCACCAGCAAGAGCUUCUUCGGGUCCUUUUCAAAGGGGACAGUGGAGAGUUCAGGUCCAGAGUUACCCAAAGAUAUUGGGCAAUUAACUGUUGUGUUCAAGAAUUUUUUGAGCUUGUUUGGUUUUGCGGAUCAUUGACUUGACUGACUGCUUAGGUUUGAGUCUUUAACCAGCCAUCACAACAGUAUAAUUCCAUCAAAUAGUGCAUUUUCCUCGUGUGCAUGUUUUUUUCUUCCGCAAAUAAUAUAUAAAUAGCUUAUAGUACUUAGUAGUCUGUCUGCAUUACUCACUCUGCUCCCACACCAAAAUUAUAAAAAGCUGUCUCAUUCCCAUUUUCUUUGUGCUCCAAAUUCCACACCAAUGACUCUAUCUAGGCUUCCUCCAAAGAGAGGCCAGAUCAAAGUUAAGAUAGUAUCUAGACUUGUCAAGUUGGUGGUGAGAAUAGUUUCGAAAGCCAGGGAGAGAGCAGCUUCGAAAGCCAGGGAGACAGCUGAACCACCAUAUAAAGGUGGCGACACAAGAUGCUCAGGCGCCUAUGCAGCUGGAGAGCGAUCAAAUUAACAACGUAUGGUUCAUACGAGCAUUGAUGUCUAUAAGUAGCUGCAUAAUGUUGAAGCAGUACUGCAGUAUUAUAUAUAUAUACAUAAGGAGUUGAGCAGCUGCGCUCUUGAGAUUGCAUGAGAAAGUUUGUAAUUGUGUGUGCUUUUGGUUUCAUGUACUGAUUCUAUCAUAAAUUCAUAAUAAACCAUUUCUUUUUCUUCACUCUUACAUUCUAAUGAAGAAGGAUAUUGUUCUGUUCUUCUCGACGACGAACUCUUUGUUGUUCUGCAUGGCUUUUGGAAUUCAACAGUGUUUAGCGAACACGAAUUUCGCGCAAUCUGUUAUCCGGUUGCAGAUUCAACCGUGCUUUUGGAUUCAUGCAACAGAGAUACCUAAUUUGAUUCAAGAAACCCUUGUUUCAAUUUGUCAAAAUGUUUUUUCUGAUGUCAACUUUAUCAAAAUGUUGAUGUCUUAAUGGAUGACUUUUGAAGAAUGUAAAGUCCCAAGUCGUAAAUCUUAUAAAUAGUUCUCGUGCUAUGGUAUUCGAAAGAUAGUUCAUGUGCUAAAAAAAAAGGAUUUAAACCCUUGUUGUGUAGUUCGUUAACAAAUUUAAUCAAAAAUGAUUUCACUCUCUUCUCUCUUGUGGUCCAAUUUGUAAUUUCACUCUCUCUCUUACAAAAAAUACUAGACCAUUUAUACAAAUUUCUUGCCUUUAUUUCAUGGUUCGCUAGAAAACAAAGAGUCUAAUGGUUGCAGUUACGAAAGUAAAUGGUGUGAUUUAUACAAAUUUCUUGCCUUGUUCAUGAUAUUAAAAAAAGGUUGGAUGCAUCAAGGCUGGGAAUUUGAGGAAACAAAAAAAAUCAGUUAUACCCACUUUCCCUUUUUUUGUUCUACUAAUUUGGUUUGGAUAGAAAACCCACAAAAAUGGUUGGACAUAGAGAGUAAGGCGUGAAGAAGGUGGAAGAUACAAAUUACAGACAGAGGAAAAAGAGAUGGAGAGAAGGUGAAAAGAAAUGAGUGAAAUAAAAAUACUUUUUACCCUUGUAUUUAAGUAAAAAAAUUUACUAAAUUUGUUAACGAACUACACUACGGGAUCUAUUUUCCGAAUACCUUAUCACUAUCAAAACUAUUUAUCCAAUUAGGCCAAGUAAAGUACAACUUCUAUCAUGAGUGGUUUCUCAUACUUUUGAGUGGAGGCCUUUCGUAUAAAACUCCACUUGUUUACUUAAUUUUACCUGAGUUUUUCUUUAUCAUUUAUUCACUUUUUAUCUUCUCAACGAGUUUCUGAAAUUUUUGUAAACUGUGCAAUCAUAUGGGCAACAAAGUUGAUCCGGUCGUGCAAAUUUGAAACCCUUUUUAUACUAUAAUGCAUCUGUGCUCCGGAUCCCUUCCACCUAGUUCAUUAAGGUCAUAAAUCUGGAUUUUUGAAAUUUGAUCCAAAAGCUACAAACAGGGAUCCAUUUUAAAAGUUAUAAUAAAUUUAACCGUUUAAUUAAAUUUCAAAUGCCCGAAUUUGUGACCUUGAUGAACUUGGUGGAAGAGAUCCAGAGAUAUCCAUUUCCAACCGUGACCAUAAAGAAUGACAAUGUUGAAGUUGAACCCGACAAAACCAUCAUUUUGUUGUUGAUCAAUUCCAAUAUAAAAAGUUUUAACUGUUGGGAGCAAAGCAGCACCAUUCCCUGUCAAAAUUGGUUUGUUACUAAUCAAUAAUCAUAUAGCUCUAAAUCAGAAAAUAAAAAAGAAUAAUCAUUUAUCUUGAGAGUUAUCAUUAAAAAGGGGAUAGUUUUCAUUUGAUACUACUUCGUUUUUAACUUUUAAUUUGUAUGUUUGAGAUAUAAAAAGAGUAUACGAGCAAAAUUAAUUGAGAGAUGAAGAAGGGUGGUGAAAGAGGAUAAAGAAAAAUGAGCGAAAACAAAAUCUAAACUAAUUUAUAAAGCUAAACACGAAAUUGUUGGUUUUGGUUUCUCAACGUUGGAAAUAAAGAUGUGUAAAUUUUUUCUUCAAUUAUCAGUAAUGGCCCCCUCCACUAAACUCAGAAACUUGUAUCAGCAAGACAGCAAUUAUAAUUCAAAGGUGCAAAAGGUUUUUCCAAAUGCAUCCAAAAAAGCUCUCUGUUUGACACAAAAUUUCUCUCGUCAAGAUAGAAAUUAGGUUUAUCCUAUUAGUGCCUGUCAUUGUACCCUGUCUAGACGUACCGCGCUUAGUUAUAUAGGGGUGUAUGGUUCGAUACAAGUCACAAAUGUACUUAAUUUACCACUGAAAAAGUGUCACAACAAUCUACAAUAGAGAUAUAACUUCACACCACAAGUAAGUUGGGUACAAUAUCGGGCAUAAUCUCAUCGACCUAUGCUGAACUCGAGUAGUUAAGUUGAGAUAUUAUUAGUAACAGAUUGGAUGCGUAAGAAGUUAAGAAGUACAAGUUAGACAUAUUUUUAUGGCGUCAUGCUUGCUUAUGCACGGCCUAAGUCAAGAUGUCCUCGCUAGUGUACAAUUGCUUAUGCACUUAACUAGUUUUGCAAGCUGAGUUGCCCCCACAUCUUGAUGUAACAUGCUAGGCUUUGAAGGAACACUACGCUAAAAAAUGUAUGUUGGUUCCCUCAGUGGUAAUUCAUCCUUUUAUGUUAGGCAAUUUUAUUUGGAUUUAUAUAUCCUUUUAUGUGGGAUGUCUCUGUCUUGAUGUACCAUGCUAGGCUUCGAUGGAACACUAAGAAAUGUUUGUUGGUUCCCUUAAUGGUUAUUGAACAUCCUUUUAUGUUAGGCAGGGGCAUUUGGAUUUAUAGGUCCCUAUAUUGGUCACUUUAUAGGCAUUGUAGCCCACACCACACGCUGUUUGCUCCAAAUCACAAGAGAAACAUUGGUUACUUUCUUCACCAUUGGUAACUAGCAUAAAUGGAAAGGAGAGACAUUACUUGCGUUUUACGGUGCUCAGGUAAAUUACAAUGCAACGAUUAUUUCCGUGUCCUUCUCAAGGGACAAUCGGCUAUAGAGAAGGCAAUAAAUUAUACAAACACGUAUAAUGAUCCCCAAAGAUGGUACGAGCACUCACGGGUGAACAUUACAAGCUUUUGGAGAACAUCCGUGAGAGGUCGCCAUCAUUGAGGGGGCCAUGAGCUUACAGAUAGUAAGAUGAACGCAACUUAAAGAAGUAUGGAGACUUCAGGUUAGCUCUCUUGGACUAAGCACGAGCACCCGGUUCUUGAAUUGUUACCUUCGUUAAGCUUGCUUCCAACUCGUUCAACUCAUCUAUGUCCAGUUCGUCGUCGUCAUCGACAUUGGUAACUUCAGCAUCACCGCCAGCUGUUGCUGAGUCGCUUGGUCCAUGUCCAUUAGAGUUUUCAUUGGCCUGAAUUUAGGCCGGAGAAAAGUUUAGUGAAACAAUUAACACAUAGUCCAUUCAAUUAUGUACUAGUCAAUAUUAGCAUCCUACAGAUUAACCAGAUCCCGCACUGGCAUCUACGGUCAACUAUGCAAGAACAAUAAUCAUAAGCUUUAGCAGGCAUAAGCACUUCUAUCUCAUAACACCAGCCUCCAGUGCAAUAAAAUACAGAGUUUUUAUAUGGCAAAUAUAAAAGGGUGACAGCUAAUAAGUGAAACUACCCUUCUGUGUUCAUCGCCAAGAAAAUUAAAAAACAGAACUAACCUUCUUUUUGGAAACUGCAGGUUCUUGCUCUCUUUGGUAAUUCCCGUGUGCCUCGGCAUCAUCCACAAAUAAGCUAGAAUCUGACAAAAAUAGUUCACGGCCGCUGCAAGAGCGAAGAGAAUAACACAACUAGUAAAUGUUAGCAACUUCACUUCAAUACUCAUUUCCUCCAUUCUAAAAUGAGAAUGUUAAUAGUUGUAUCCAAUUUCUUUUUUAUUUACUCUUCGUCCUCCAAAAGGGUGGGAGUGAGCAUAUAUUGGAGAAAGUGGAAAAGAAAUACACCUCAUGCGGUCAUUCUUAGCCCGCUCUGCCAUUUGCGCGGCCAAGCCAGCAUCUCUUUCUGCGAUCUUUUUCUUCCUCCAUUGAAUGAAUAAGUCAAAGAGGUCGCACUUGGUGCGAUGGCAAGUGCCUUCGCCCAUGAGCGGUAGGUCUCGGGUUCGAGACUUGGGAGCAGCCUCUCCAUAAAUGGGGGUAAGGCUAGCCGACAUUCACCUCUCCCAGACCCUGCGUAAAGCGGGAGCCUUGUGCACUGGGUACGACCUUUUUUUAUUGAAUGAAUAAGUCAGGAGUCAUAGGGGUUGAAGUUGUCAAUUUAGCACGCUAAAAGCAAAAGGCAAAUGUUUGGUGAGGUUACAUAUCAGGAAAUGAUAGAAAUGAAACUCAAGGCAUUUAGAUCCUCAAACAGGAAAUGCUAUAAUUUGAUGUAAAGACUUGUCAAAUGACCUGAUUUUCAAUCUCCUCUUCAAUGGGUAUCUUUUCACUCUCUUCCUCCAACAGAGCCUUCAUCUGAGACUUCAAAACAUAUCCUGGAGGAAGAGCAUGCCUGUAAUGGCAAUUUUUACCGCCAUUGGGACAUACCCAAAACCAACCAUAUUGUUUCUUCUCCACUGCUUCUAAAAAAUAUUUACAGACCUGCACAUGUAUUAAAAACAACAAUGGAAAAAUCAUUCUGAAGUCUACCAAGCAGAUCGAUGGUUCGAAUUAAAUACACAUGUAAGAAGUUGAGAACUAGAAUGCAUAUUGUACGAAAAGCCUCAGAGAGAGAAAACUUACAAUAUCAGUUGGUUUGUUCUGCUUGUACUCAUUUUUUUUCGACUCCACCACCUUCUCCAAAGUUUCUUGAUCCCAGGCCUCCAUUGUUUCUUCUGUAAAAGAUAUAAAAUCAAACUCAGAACAACAUAAACCACAAAAGCAUCCAAAAUUGUAGACAAUCGGCAUCAUACUGAAGUUAAAAAUUCUAUACGGUACCAUUAUCACGCUUAUCACUGUAAAUGUCAAUCUUUUCUCCUUUCCUCUGAACAUUCAAAUCAUGUGAGAACUUGCACUUGAAACCUUUUGCGCACUGCCCCACCUUAUAGAACUCACAUACUAUAGACUUGGGAUCAACACCUAAUCACAUAUCAAAUAUUAUAUCAUAUCGAAGUUUCGACUGUAUAUAGACAUCAAAAACUUCAAUCAACAGGGCACUAAAACAGAAACUAAUCACUUACCAACUGGUACUUUCGGUUGACUAACAGCAACCUUAAAUAAUUCAUUCAGUUCCUUGUCCUUGGCCUUCUCUUCCUCCUUCUUCUUCUGUUAUAUGAAUCAUUUUACUUACAAUAAAAGAAGCUCCAUAUGAAGCAAAACAGAUAACCAUUUGAAAAAGGCAGAGUUUUAGUUGACAUUGGAUUCAAACUUCCAUGUAUUCCACAGUUAUGGUGUGAUAACCUUUCUGCUAUAUCUCUGGCUAAAACCCCUCUCUUUCAUGCUAGAACUAAGCACGUUGAAAUAGAUUAUCAUUAUAUUAGAGAGAAGGUUUUAGCUAAAGAGGUUUCAGUUCACUUUGUCUGCACACAGGACCAGAUUGCAGACAUUUGUACCAAAGCAUUAUCCAAGCACAGAUUUCUGCUUCUUCGCGACAAACUCUCUCUUCGAGUGCCUCAGAUCAGUUUGAGGGGGGCUAUUAAGGCUAAUAUUGUAAAUGUAUCUGUAAACGACGAUACUUAGAGUUUGUUAAGUUUGUUACUAAGUUUGUUAGCUUUGGUUAGAAUAGGUGAGCUAUGAUUACAAAUGUGUAAAUGACUUGUCUAUAUGUACUCAAAGUGUAAUAUUAUUUCAGUUAAGAAAUGAAAUGAUAAUUUCCUAAUAAGUCUCAAACUCAAAAGAACUAGGAUGAAACGGGAAUGCCAAGAUGGAUAUGUCCCAAACCAAUCACGUGACGCCACAUGGGAAAUUUGAGAACACGUUUUCGUGUUAUUGGUGACGGUGGCGUCCUGGAGUGUUGCCUCAAAUUCAUCUAUGUGAAAUUAAAAACUUUCCAUAACCAUGCAAAUUUUAUUUCCUGGUCUUAUGACAAUUCUUUGGUUUUUAAGACGAUAUUCUAAACUAUUUUAUGCACACGAGGUCAAAGGGCUGAUAACUUGUCUUGGCCCACCUAGACUAACCACGUCUGCAAUGUUUAUUCUAAUCUAAGUUGGGUGCAAUAAAUCGAAAUUUCUCACUUUUUUUUUUCUUCUAAAAAAUAUAAGUUAAUCAAUCAACAAAUCAAUCAAUGAUUAGCCAAAGAAACUUAAAAAAUGAAGAAAAAUGGGACCUUAACGGCAGUCUUGGAAGGAUCGGGUUUCAGCUCGACAGAUUGCUUGAGGCUCUGAACAUACUUCUGCACGUUCUUGCUCUUGUUCUUGUUCUUGAGCCCGAAGGUCUUGUCCUCUACGAUCUUCUGCUUCUUCGCCAAAUCGGCCUUCGAUUGCUGCUUCGGCGGCAUCCCUUAUCGGCAUCAAAAGUUUCCGAUUUCCUAAAUUUCGGACGAUUUCCGGAUUGGUUUUGAUCUUCCGUCCCAAUUUCCGAAAUGAUGUGUCGCUGCCACCCGGUCUGGUAAUCUGGUUAAGAGAUAUGAACGGGACGGGACACGCCAGAAGCUUGACGUCUAUGUGGAUUUCCUGAUUUGCCCCUGGAAAUACCUGACGUGGCGGAUUGUUGUGCGGCUGGUUGGUCUUAUUACCCCCGUGUAAUUCUCCUGCUUUUUGCCACCACGAUUGGCGGCGCGUACAAGGCAUUUUAAUUUUAAUUUUUAACAAAUGCUAUUAUCUAAAUUGAAUAGAAUAGAUGGACUUAACCUCAUAAUAAUAAUGAGGUUUAAAUUUAACUUUCAAGAGAAUCGAAUUUAACCUUUCAUUUACAAGUAGAGAAUAAUAUCGCUAAACCCCUAACUUACUAAUUGGCACCAUGUAGGAUUUGGACUAGAAAAAUAUUGGACCAUCACCUACAAUACACUACAUGUCGUUUUGAGAACUUACGCCAAUCCUUUUUUUUUUUUCAAUCUAAAUAUUAAUUUUUUAUUAGCUACCCAAUCAUGGUGGAUGGAGAACCCUACUAAUAUGAGGAUUUAAGAGUGUGCUCUGUGUAAUUUCACUCGAGAAUAAUCAGAUCAAGAUCAUCAGAAUCUCGAAGACAGCCAAUCACUUUAAUGUUGCUUACACUAGUCUUAAAAAAUAUUAAGACGUGAUUUUUUUUCCUCGACUUAUUUUUGUAAUGCUUUUGAAAAUCGAACUUAACCAUAUUUAAAAAAAAAAACAAUUGUAUACCUUGGAAUCCGAUUUAACACAACUUUAACAGUCUUUCGUUAAUUUCAUCAAAUUAGCGUCAAUUGUGUUGACGUGUAAGGAGAAUACCGUAGGUAUGUCCUAGUUGGCACUGCUGGACCACCAAAACUGUUAGAACAACCAACCAGAAGCAGCCAUGUGGCGUUGAAAAAGUGAGAUGGUUGACCCAUUGAUCUUGCUGGGUGCUUGUAAUUGUUAAUGGAAUUUUCACAGAAAUCUUCUAGCAGUGGAAAAUUGUGAUUGUGCCUAUUAAAUUCCAUUUUUCUCAAAAGCACAGCAAGUUCAAAAUCCAAAUGUACAUUUGAGUUCCUUCAUGAACCAGUUUCGAGUUUGCAAUAUUUUUAAAAGAUGUAGAUAAGUAAAUUCGAAACUGGUUCGCAAAGGAACUCAUGUCCUUCCCCACCAAUCUUCUUCUGCAGCUAUCCAUUUUUAAAGUCCAGUAAUUACCAUGCCGAUCGCCAGUUUUGUAGGAAAUGGAGGUGGUGAUGGGGAGGGGAAGAGAAGCCAAGAGGGAGGGCGCGGAUAAAUGUUGGGAAUUGGGAAUUUUCUUUUUAGUUUUUUUUUUUUAAUUUUAAUUAUUGAAUAGUUAGAAGUAGAAUUUGAUCGAAAUAGCCACUGCAUUUUUGCCAUAUGAUGCCACAUCAGCUAGUUUAACGAAAUAAAUAAAUGGAAAAUUGUUAAAGUAUAGUAAAAAUUGAGUUUUAGAGUGUAAGCAGUGAUAUUUUUGUUUGAGUUUUAGAGUGUAAGCAGUGAUAUUUUUGUUUUAUGAGAAAAUGGGAUUAAGUUCAAUUUCUAGGGUCAACGUAAAAAAAAUAAGUUUUUUACUUUUAUAUAAUGGUUUAGUAAUAUUUCUUUUCACUUAUAAAUGAGAUGUCAAAUGUUCAAAUGAUGACGAGUUAAACUUAGCUAAAUCAUUAUGUUUCUCCUCUGAACCUUUAAAACAUUUUUUAACAAUGCAGCAUACUUUCCUGAUCUAAAAUUCAAUCAUUUAGAAUUUUUAUAUCUAGUUCAACUAUUAUUUUCAUGGAAACUAAAUACAGUCAAACUUAUGAGCAACGAUUUUCCUUCUAAACUCUAAAAUGUUUGUGGAAUACAUUGGAAAAAUGCAAAAAGCCAAAACCACGGGAGUGGUGUAAUAUAAAAACCGAUCCUAAUCCGUGGCAUCGUAACCACCCCGAACUCAACCAUGAACUGUACGAAAUAGCAAAAUCGUCAAGCCUCCACCUGUCAUGUUUCCUUUGUUGGAGGUUUUCUCAUUGUUGAAUCAAUGACUGGUAGAACCAAUUCUCACCUCGAUUCCGACCAAUCAAAUCGUUGGAAAAGAAGGUAACUAGUCUCAUAUUUUAUAUUGAUUCAAAAAACACAUUUCUUACAAGCAACAAUCAUCCAAAAAAACCUAAUUGAUGGCAAAUAAAUUUUAGUAAAACAAUAACGUAUGGAGCUGCGUCUAUACCCUAAAAUAUAUUUUAGUUUACUCCAAUGUCUUAAUGGUUGUUUGAAAAAAAAAAUUCAAUGUUUGGAGGAAAACAGAAAGAAGAAGGUAUCUUAAAAAUCUGUAGGCAAUUGUAAAAAUCAUAUAUACACAAAAAGCAUGAGUUUUUACCAUAAAAUAACCGGUCAAGACGUUCAUGAACAUUUCAUUUCAUAGAAAUAGAAAUGCUAUGACUUAAAAUCAUUUUUUAAAUUUCAUUUUAUUUUUUAUUUUUGAUUAAGGAGUAUGAUUAGCUUUUAACAUUCUAAAAAAGAAAAAUUCAGUUAUUAUGAAAAAUGGGACAAUGAUGAGGCAGUUUAUUCUACCGUGGGGAUAAUUUUUUAUUUUUUAACAUGGUAUAUAAUUACUGUUUUGUCCUCGUAUUGUAAAUAGUGUGUGUUAUAAGGGUAAAAGAAGAAAAACAGAGAUAUGAUUGCCAUUUUGAGAAAGAGGUUGACGAUGCCUCUUUUCUUAAUAAUAGUACAAGCAGAGAGCACAUACUUUGUGUGUGUGAACAAUUUCUCUUAAUAAGUGCAUAUUUUUUUUAAUAUUACAUAAUUAUUGUUUUGUCAUCCUUAUGUAAAUAUUGUGUAUCAAAAGUGAGGGUAAAAUUAGAAAAAUAAGUAUAAAAAGAGGGUAAAAUUGGAAAAAUAGGGAUAUGAUUGUCAUUUUGUCAAAAGGUACAAAAUUACUAUUUUGCCCUCCUUUUGUCAAUAGUGUGUAUCAAAAAUGAGGGCAAAAUAGAAAAAAAAGGUGGCAAAAAGUUGACAAGGAGGGUUCUCAUAAUAAUAGUAUAGAUGAUUAAGGGAGGGUAGUUCAAAACCAUUACAUUACUUUAGAAUGGAAAGUUUUAAAUCCGAAAUGUAUUGGUAGAAAUCUAACACCUUAUCCAUUAAGAUGAAUACUUAGUAAAAUUUACGCAUCAUAGAACUCACACAGAUGUACAUGUCAUGUAUAGUGCACCCAAAUGACUUAGUUUAUUGUGCGAGUUAGCCCAAAAUUUUCACACCUAAAUAUAAAUAUAUCUUUGUAAAACACAACUAGGCGUCAAAACGAUUAAUUGGCCAACCAACCAACUAAUGGCAGAUCUAAGACUCUAAUCCCGUGGGAUCACGGUGUAAACGAUUCAUGUGCACGCAACGCAAUUUAUUUAUUUAUUUUUAAUUUUUCAUUGAGUUAUUUAGUCGAACAAUUGGUGGGCAUGUCAUUAUGCCUAAUUUGUCGGACUUGGAUUGUCUGCCCUCCCAUUUUGGUGCCCUUCCAAUGCCCUCCUGUUUUGUGUGUUUACGGUUAAGCCACGUCAACAUUUUAUAUUAUUUUUUUUAUAAAAAUAAUAAAAUAAAAAGAAAUAGUAAUAUAAAAUGCUGACGUGACUUAACCGUGACCACACAAACAGGGGGCACGAGGAGGGCACUGAAAUGGGAGGGCAGACAAUCCAAGUCCUAAUUUGCAACUUCCAAAGCUUGAUGACGAGGCUUGUCGAGCAUCACUUCUCAAGGCCUACCAAAAUUUUCCAAAGAGGCAUUUCAACAGAUAAAUUGUGGGGAGUUUGAGUUUCAAGACCCAUACCAGAUGGCCAUAGAGUCCUCGGGCGACCCUUCCCCCAUAUUUCUCAACCUUCAUAGGAUCCCAGGGAACCCCUGGAUUCGCCCAUGCAACCAAGAAAAGACACAUGGUGGUUGCUUUUAAAAAUUCUUAACUCCGAGCUCCUCACCUCUAAAACCAGAAAAAAUUGAACAAAUGCUAUUCAUACCACAUGAUGUGGCAAAAGAUUGUAACCGCCACAUUAUUUAGUUGUUCCAUUUAGUGUUGAUUUAUAUCUCAUUGGAUGCUAAUUCAGGGAUAUGGUCAUUUGAGGAGGCUAAAACGGCUUUAGCCCCUAACCCCUUCCCUCUGACCAGUGAUAUAUGCUCACCUCAAGUUUUCAUUUUGAGGAAAUCUGAGGACCAACUCUAUAUCAGCCCUACGAUUUUAUUCAAUAACAUCUAAUGGCUCAUAUUCUUUUACAACCUAUUUAUAGCCAUUUUUAAGUUCGAUCAACCAAAUUAGGUUGCAUAUUGUGUGGUUUGACCGAACUCCCAUUCCUUUUAGUGUAAAAAUAUUGAUGUACUAAAAAAAUUUGUUUUAAUUUGUGAAAGAAUUUGAGCCGCUAGAUCCCACUAAAUAAAUUUCUACGAUUGAGAUAGAGUUGGUUCUCACUCGUCCUCGAAUUAAGGAUCUUAGAUUAGCAUCACUAUCCCUCUCACACAUAGACAUGCUCUUAGCAAGUUAAUUGGUUUGAAUAGAGUUCAUUUUAGGAUAGUCUUUCGUUACGUCGCAAAUUUGUUAUUCAAGAUAAUAGAAAGUAAGAUCUUUUACAAAAAAGAGUUACCCAUAAUUAAGUAUCAAAAUCGAUCAUCAAAGUCAAAUAUAAAAAAUCUAACUUCCAAGUCUAAAUGAUUACAUGUUUCAAAUAUGAGAAUUUUUUAGUAUUUUCAGAAUAUGUGCCAUAAUACACAUGAAGGAAAACUAAAAAAAGUUUUCUCUCAUCUUAUAUUAUGGCAGAUGGUGUACCAGAUAAUUUUCUAGUAACACAAAAACAUGUUUCAGUAACAUAAAAAUUUUUCUCUUCAAAUAUACUCUGAAACACAGCUCAGUAACCGUUUUGCUAGUAGGAGUGUUAUACCCACAUACCCCUGUUUACUUCUCACACAUAUUUUUAAUUUUUGACCAUUGAAUCGGAUGAAUUGAAGAAGAUUAAAUGAUAUAAAUUAACAAAAGAUGUGAGAGAAGUAGAAAAGAGUGUGUGAAUAUCACAUCUCUGGCUAGUAAUGAAUGACAUGUUGUGAGUAGGAUUCUCUUUUUUUUUUUUCCCCUCUUCUCCUAUUUGAACGGUCACGGUUAAACUAUGUCAACAUUUUAUAUUAAUUUUUUAUAAGAAGAGAAAAACAAAAUAGAAAAUAUGAGAAGAGGGGAUGAAAGUGGAUGAAAAAAGAAGGAGAUGAAAGGAAAUGGAAAAAGGAGGGACGAGAAUCUACUGUUCGAGAGGGUCUUUCAUAACUUUUUGAAGAAACCGUUUAAAUUGAUAAAUUUCCCACGAAAAUACCGGCCCUUCAAAUCCAAUCCUCAAAAACCCAUUAAAAAACCCCAAACAUCUUACACCCAAAAACUUAAUAAAUAAAUAAAAAAUUAGAAACACGCACAGCGGUUUGUUUUGCUGUGAGAGGGAUGAGAGAGUUCAUAAUCCUCAGCUACUUCUCUUAUUCUUCUUCUUCCUCCAUUGCCACUCUUCCGAAUCCCCAUGCCGCCAACAACCACCACUCCACCAGACCCUACAAAGACAACACCAACAAACCCUUAUCCCUCCCUCCCUCCAAAUCCUCCCCUCCAAUCUCCACCCUCCAUUCCCGCCCCCCUCCCCUCUCCGCCGUCCGCUGGGACCCCAACAAAACCCACCUCUGCUACUUCGCCGACCUCGCCUCAAAACUCGCCCGUGACGGAAAGCUUCAGGAUUUCGCCAUGAUUGUCGAAAGCGUCGUGCUUUCGGGCGUCAGGGGAUCCGAGUUCACGGCGGCGCUCAGGGUUGAGUUGGUGGCGAAGGGCAUUUCGGGGUUUUUGAAAGAGGGGAAGGUGGGGGUCGUUGUUGAUGUGCUGAGUAAGGUUGAUGAGCUCGGGGUUCCACCGUUGAAGCUGUUUGAUGGGUACGCUAUGGAGUUGCUGGGGAGACAGUGUCGCCGGCUUUUGAAAUGUGGGCAAGUGCAGGAACUUGUUGAGCUCAUGGACGUUCUUCAAGGUAAUUUUCAAAUUAUUUCUUGAUUAAUUUGUUUAAUUUAUUGAAGUAUAAACCUGCAUUGGUUUUAUAAUUAAGCCAGUCAUGGUGUUCAAAGAUUUCAACUUGUUAGAGAAAUGGUUAAGUACCCAACUUUUGGAAUUCAUUGGCAUAUAAUACUUUUGAAGUGUAAUUAGUAUUGGUAAUGUGUUUGGUUGCUUCUAAAUGCUGGAUUUAGAAAAAGGGCGGUCGAAAAUGUUGAAAUUCUUGUCAUGAGUUAGUGUAAUGUGAAUGGGAAGGGAAGAAUUAAUGUUUCAUGAGAAUUUUUGUCUUGGAAGAAUGAGCAUAUGAUGAGCCAUGGUUGAGAACAUGAGACUGUUUGGGUUGGUAACAGAUAAUACUUGGUUCAGGUUUUCAUUUCCCGAUCAAAGAACUGCUGGAGCCAUAUGAAGUUAUCAAAGUUUGUGUUGAUAAACACUGCCCGAAAUUGGCAAUAAGGUAUAAUUGACUGUUCUCUUAUGAGUCGGUCCGAGGGUUUCUCAUAUGUCUUCUGCAUUGCUCAUACAUUUUCUUUUAGCAGGUUUAGAUUAGAAAGGGUUCAUACUCUUUCCAAGGAUGUGAAAUUUUGCUUGUUUUUCAAUAGCACUGCUUUCUUCAUUAUGCUUUGGUCAUUACAUUUUGCAGGUAUGCUUGUAUUUUUCCACAUGCGCAUAUUUUAUUCUGCAACAUUAUGAAUGAAUUUGGAAAGAGAAGGGCGUUGGAGUCUGCUUUGACAGCAUAUGAAGCAUCCAAGGAAAACCUGAGUGGUUCUAAUAUGUAUGUCUAUCGCACAAUAAUUGAUGUAUGUGGCAUCUGCAAAGACUACAUGAAAUCUAGGUACAUCUAUGAGGUAUUUACCACCGUGAUUGCCUUCGUUAUUUGGAACUGUUUUGCUUGGUUGGAACUGUUUAACUCUUUUUAUUCCAUAACUCAAAACUGAUUUUUCCUUUUAAUAUCUAUGUUUUCCUUAUGUGGUGGUUUGUGCCAACUGGGACAUUUCCCUUCAAUUCUUUCAGCAUUUGUAUUUCAUGUGAAACUAUUUAGUAUCAAUUUUUCUUUACUAGGUCCUUUUUUCUUGAGAAAAUUGAUGGUUUAAUUAGCACCUUGAAUCUUGAUAAUGUUUGUUAUUAUUUUGUUUUCUUUAAUAACAAGAAGAGAAAGGAACAGAGACAAGGAUGGAAGAGUGGAUGAAGAUCGAAGGGAGAAUAAACAAAAAUAAAUAUUAAAAAUUACUGAAUUGCUUUUAGUUUUUAUUUUAAAAUGUAGUUUUUGUAUACUUUAUCUGUUUUCUCUAUCAUCUUCAUCUCUUUCAAAACAUAACCAUAUUUUCCAAACGAAUCCUUAUACAUGUCUAUAACUUUAAUGCAGUCUGUGAGAUUACAAAUCAGGAUCUUCAUCCCCAUGAUUUUUUCUGCAGGACUUGCUCAAACAGAAGGUCACUCCGAAUAUUUAUGUUUUCAACAGUCUCAUGAAUGUAAACGCACAUGAUUUGACCUACACAUUCCAUGUUUACAGGAGUAUGAAGGUAAUGCUGUCUGUCUCUCUUUCAUACGCACACAGCCCGGACAUCUAUUAUUUUUCUUUCAAUGUUACUCAAUACAGAAAUUGUUCUUCUGGUUGCAUUGGACAAUGUUAUGCAAUAAAAAAUUGGUUUCUUGUGAAUUAAGCUACAGUUAUCUAAAUCUAUUAUCCUCAAUCCAGAAUCUUGGCGUCAGAGCAGAUAUGGCAUGUUAUAAUAUCCUCUUAAAGGCAUGUUGUCUUGCUGGGCGAGUUGAUUUGGCACAGGAUAUUUACAGAGAAGUACAGCAUUUGGAAUCAACGGGAGUGUUGAAGUUGGAUGUCUUCACGUACAGCACUAUUGUAAAGGUAAAUAUUAAUUUGCUUACGAGAUGUUAUUUUCUUACUGUUGAUAGUAAUAUGCACAAGCACACGAAUACUAUUUUUCUUAGUAUCAAUGGAUUUUCCAUAGAGAGGCGUUUACGAUCUCCAUAACUAAUGAUCAAUCGUUUAGGUCUUUUCAGAUGCAAAAUUGUGGCACAUGGCUCUAAAAGUCAAAGAAGACAUGCUAUCUGCAGGUGUUAUGCCUAAUACAGUUACGUGGUCAUCAUUGAUCAGCGCCUGUGCAAAUGCAGGUCUUGUUGAGAAGGCAAUUCAAUUGUUUGAAGAGAUGCUUCUGGCUGGCUCUGAACCUAAUUCACAGUGUUUUAACAUCCUUCUACAUGCUUGUGUCGAGGCUUGCCAGUAUGAUAGGGCUUUUCGGCUUUUCCAGUCUUUGAAGAGCAAAAACUACAAAGGUAUAGUAGUUUGCGUGGAGCAUAUAGUUAUCUACAUUGCAUCAUCAUGAGUAUGGUUUUCCACCUCUAAUUUGAUUUCACCUGAACUUUCUAAAGGGCUUUCUUUCAAACCCACAACUACAACGUACAAUACUAUGAUGAAGGCCUGUGGUACUGACUACUACCAUGCACAAGCACUAAUGGAUGAGAUGAGAACAAUAGGUCUUUAUCCUAAUCAAAUAAGCUGGUCGAUUUUGGCUGAUAUCUGCGGAAGCUCAGGAAAUGUCGAUGGUGCUUUGCAGGUAAUAGAUAAAUUAAUUUGAUCAACUUAAUUAUUUUAUAGUUCUUUCUGCAUCAUUGUCCAAAUUUUCCUUUUAAUUUAGAACCAAAAUUCAAGGAAAAAUAUGUCAUUGUCAGUGUACAAAGUCACGAUGAAACAAAAUAAGUCAGGGACAAGAAUAUAACAAUUUUUUGGUUCAGUGCAGAUUUUGACAAAUAUGCGUGCAGGUGGGAUGAAACCUGAUGUUGUUGCAUAUACUACAGCUAUCAAGGUUUGAAGCUUUCCUGUCUCGUGAUUUAUCUUGUUUGUAACCACUAUUCUUCCUACAUGUGCUUAAUUAAUUAGAUGCAAAAUUGCAUUAUUUUUGUUUCCACCCUAAAUGUUGAUGCAUCAUGUGCUUUGGUUCAUAGGUCUGUGUGGAAGGUGGAAAUUUAGAGCUAGCAUUGUCGCUGUUUGCAGAAAUGAAAAAAUAUCAGAUACGCCCAAAUUUUGUGAGUACCAAGAACAUUUCCAAUCAUAUAUCCUAACACAUUCUGAGGAAAGUUUUCGUACAAAUAAGCAUGAUUUACAAAUAAUUCCAUUGGUGUACUUUUGGAUUUCCCUUUAGUAUGUUAUGUUCGACUAGUCCUGCCAUAAGGAUGGAACUGCUCCGUCUUGUAUGAAACAUAGUUGCCAAAGUGAUUUUUUUGCUUUAUUUUAUACAAGAAUUUCCAUACAUGUCUUGACAUGAUUCUGCGUAUAAUUCUAAUGACAAUGCAAACAAAAUGAUCACAAGUCCACCGUGUAAAUCCUUGGCACUUUUUUCCAGGUGACAUAUAAUACAAUUCUGAGGGCUCGUAGUAGAUACGGUUCUGUGAGCGAAGUGCAACAAUGCCUGGCUAUAUACCGGGACAUGCGGAAUGCGGGGUAUACCAGCACAUGUUUAGGUUGUCAUGAACAAGUACAUUUUGCUAAUUAUGAUUUAUUUUGCAGUUACAAAUCUAACGAUCGUUUCCUAGAGCAACUGAUUGAGGAGUGGUGUGAAGGAGUUAUACAAGACAGCAAUGCCAAACAAGGAGAGUUCAGUUCCCAUGACAAAACUGACAUAGGGAGACCUGGAAGUCUGCUGCUUGAAAAAGUUGCAGAACACUUGCAAAAGCAUACUGCCGAAACCUUAGCAGUUGACCUUCAAGGACUGACAAAGGUAUUCUCAUGUACCAGCCAAUUUAUAUUCUUCGCAAUCUCGGUGAACAUGUUAUUAUGUGAUUUCGUUUGUGCAUUUUUUUAAAUAGGAUUCAUUUCUUUGUUCUCAUGCUAAUAAGUUCUUAAAUUGCUGCAAUAAUUGUUGACAGGUUGAAGCUCGGAUUGUUCUUCUUGCAGUUCUACGAAUGAUCAAAGAGAACUACAGCUCAGGUAUGAAAGGAUUGGGCAUUCAUUUAUUCUUUCUGAUUUUGGAUAGGGUAAAAAUCAGUCUUGAAUAACAUUAGCAAAUGAGAAAUGGAAGAAGAAACGUAUGAUCCAGAGUUUCGAACUUUCAGCACGCUGAUGCCAAGACUUGUUUAUGAUUUGCAGGGCAUUCAGUAAAAGAAGACAUGCUGAUUGUUGUAGGAGUCCACGAUGUUGAUGGAGGCUCAACUACACAGAAUUUAGAGGUGAAAGAUGCAAUAACGAAACUUCUGCAGGAUGAAUUGGGGCUCAAGGUUGUUGCAACAGGACCGAAAACGGGACUUGAUACGACAAUAGAAGCGGAGAACAUUACUGAUUCAGAUCAAGAUUCAGAAGAGAUGACAAGUAGGAAUGAAUUAACGACUGACUUGACAUAUUCCACUAGACGACCCGUUGCACUAGAAAGGCUAAAGGUAACCAGGGGAUCGUUGCUACAGUGGCUGCGGAAAAGAAGUGCCCCAAGAAGGUGACUGCUUCAAUGUAUGAAUUCAAACUUGUACAUGUUACUAAAACAACCGAUAAUUAUUCUUUUUUACUUGUGUAUACUGGUACCGCUGAAUAAGCCUGUACUGCACUGGUGUCACAUGUAAAUUAUACACAACGGGCAAAUGUAAUUUGCAGAAGCAAUGAAAAUAAGCUUAUUAUCCUUCAUUCUCUUAUAUUCUUUUAGUUUUUUCGCGUCCUUAAACUACAGAAAUCGUGUCGAUCAUUUCUAAGUUAUAAUUACUCAACCUCAUAGAUGCAACAACGCGGCCACGAGAAAACGAGCAUAUCAUCCUGGGGGAAAGAAAGUCACAAAAUCAUUGUUACUUCAUUCCAUUCCUUCUCCUUUCAACUGAAACAAUUCAAAAGAUAUUACAUCUUUACAAACUAAUGCCUAAAUCACUCGGCCGUAUCCCCAACCAUUUUAUAUCUGGUGUGGUCAAAUUCGCACUGUCAUAUGACAUGUUCUUCGACCACAGCCGUAAACUGAUAAAAUUUCCAGCCUGUGCAGAUCCCUGUCCACAAGAGCCAGCACCGGUUAGCUUCAAUUCCAGCUUCAACUUCCAUAAAAAGAGUCUGGUGGCUACAUCCUGCUGCCCCUCUGCAGUCAGGAUAAUACAUGGAAAUCUGUUGUAAAACCGAUCCUCAGAAAAUCGAAUAAAAGCAGCAUCCUUCUCAACCAACAAUAUGAACAAUGCAUCACUCUGCACAUCAUUCUACAUCCAGAGAUUCCUGGCCAAAUGAAAAAAUUGCUAACCCUGGCCAUUCAUUAAUCAACUGCACUGCCCCUGCAAUAGAUAGAAGAAGAGAUGACUUUCAACUUGAUCGCUCAACCUGAAUUUAAUCUGCAAUAGAAUUUAUAUAAGAAUACCAUUGUUUACCUUUGAAAUUCAGGACAAUCAAAAUCAUUGAAAAGCUUCAAGCUCGUUGGAAAACUGCGGCAAUUGAAUGUCUCCAGGAUGACAUGUGCAUUGUGACAUUGGCAAUGAAAAUCUGAGACUUGAUUCAAUCGCUUCCUGACCCGAAUUAAGACCAUGCUGAUGCACUUGAAAUCACAUAGCUGCCUCAAUUAGUACUUCUCAUCUGGUGGUUAGCAGUCACAAUUUGAAUUCAGAUGUUAUAAUAUGAAAAAGGUAUUUAACAUAUACCAUACUAAAAAAUGAUUCAAAAUUAUCUAAGGCGGAUAAGAGAAAUACCUUGUGAGCAUACAAGAUGUUCCUUUCACCAAGGACCUGCAACUAGAUUACAAUUCCACCGUGCUGCAUGUCAGACAAACAAUUUCACAGGCAUACGUAAAAUUGGUGCUACAAUUGUAGCUAAAACAUAAAAACAGUAACAGAAGUUGAUUACUACUUGUAAAAUUUCUCGUGACGUUACAUGUUACAUACAACAUAUAGUACUUGUAGUAAGAAGGAUAAACAGUAUCCUGUUCAAAAGAAAGCUUCAGUUUUGUCAAUAACCCUCCUUGUCUAACUGUAUCAUCUUAAUACCUGCCUAGAACAUGAAGUACCCAAAUUCCCCAAGCUAUUACUCUUGCAAAAGAAAGACAGAGCUACCUGCUUCAACAUUUUCUUGGAAUGUCUUGAAGACUCCUUUCAUAAGCCCCUAAAAUCAAUUUGAUUACUUCCUUUUGAUGGCUAAAAGUUGCUUUGUAGUCUACAACAAAACCAAGUCCGCAAUACAGCACCAAAAUUCCCUGAUACGAAAAGUUGUGAAAAAACCCUGUUCCAUAAUCUUGCUGCAAAAGAACAAGGAAGAGUUAGUCUGAGGCUCACCAUCAAUUCUUAAAUCUGGAAGCUGGAAACUAACAUUCUGGUAAAAACAUGUUUAAUGAACUGCAUGCUGUUUGUUUUGCCAUACAUAUAUAGGUGCAUCCCUUUUCAGCUUGGUAGAUCAUAUGCAAAGUAAUUGAUAUAACAGGACCAAAAGUUACAUAGAGAUUUGAGGCACCCAAAUAAAUUGGAAAAUGCGAUUAAUAAUCUGAUACUUUUCUUUGUUCACUUCCAGCCCAGAAUCAAGACUGCCUGUGUUUCAAAUGAAUUAACUGCCCCAAUUAUUUUCAUCUUGGGUUUAGACACAACUAGAAAAACUGUCCGCGCUCUGCUGCGGGGUUUCAAAGUAUAAUCGAUAAUAAUCAUGAAUAAUAUCCACAGAAAAAUUCACUCAAAAGGCAGCAUCAACAAAUAAUUGGAUGAACUACCCAAUUUUGAAAGUAAACGAUAUGAAUUCACAUAGAUCAAUUGUAACAUAUAUAGCAUAUACCAGAAAUCAUUUUAAUUAAUUUCCAGAGACCAAUUCCCUUUCUCAGGUUCCAACCUGAAAUGUAGUACUUGCAUACUCAAAACAAAAUAUAAAACAUUGGUUUCUCACAAUCAGCUUUGGGAAUACACACGCACUUUUCCACCACCCUGAGCAAUUAAAAAAUGGCAGAAGUAACCGACGAGGAACUGCUAAACAGAUGCCAUAUGUUAAUCCUAGCCAGCCAGACUUUUUCGAUAUUUUUCAGUCUGUUAAACAUCUUACCUGAUGACAACCUUUCUUCCUUUCCUCCAUAAAACAAAAGAGUAUUAUCCUAACUCUUCAUCUUUGUAUAUAAUAACUAUUUAGUAAAUGAUUUUUAAAGCAAAAUACUGAAAUGUCAUUGUACAUCUUUGAGAUGAUGCACGGUUGUUUCGUACUCAUCUGAACUAUAUUACAUAUACAUUCUUCAGAUAGACUUCCAUUGCUAGCAAGUCUUGCAUUCAGAAUUUCAAAGAUGCAAUCGAUAUGCAGAUCUUCAAAAUAAUACUUAAAAAAAUUAAGGAAUAACAAAACAGCAUUUGAGUUUCCAAGUCCCUUUGGACCAAACAUCUAAAGACGUGCUUAAUGUAAAAGAGAUUUUUCAGACCAACUUACAAAUACUUGGAUGAAGUAAUAAUCCCAAUUUUGGGAGUAAAGGAUAUCAAUUCACAUAGAACAAUUGUAACAUAUAUUGCAUAUACCAGAAAUCAUUUUAAUUAAUUUCCAGAGAGGGUUCAGGGUAUAUAGAAAUGGAAACAGUUGUUAACAAAUACUGUAGCUUCAACUGGAAUACUGAAAAAAAAUAAAGGAACAACAAACAGCAUUCGCGAUACAUCACAAAUGAAAGUAGCCUCUCACCGUGAGACUUCUUUUUCUCUAAACCAACUCUUCUCUCUUUUGGCCUCACUGAAAAUACAAAAAAGAUGAGAUUUUAGAAAUAUUUGGAAUCCAACGCAUACUAAACUUUGAUAACAGUAUACCUUAGUAUGCCUACUACACAUACUAUGACCGACUUCAUUUGUCAUUCCUUUCAAACCCCAAAUAGUAAAUUCGGGAAGACUUACCUUUCACUUCGUCAAUGGUGGCCAAACAAAAAUCCUAAACCUUGAUCUCUUCACAUUUCCAUGUCUCUCAACUGUGCACUGGAAGCUCAACACAGGAAUUGUAGGACCCCAUAUGUACUCUCUAUACGAAAGCUGGAUUGAACAGAGAUACACAAAUAAGGAUAACUCAGUAGGAAAACACAACAUUUUGGCUAAAGCGAAGUUGAGCAGAUAGAAUACAAAUAAGAAAAUUAUGGAUUUUAAAACAGCAAUUAUAAUUUGUUCAAAAUCGACUUCUGUCUCAAUUCCUUCCCAACAAUCAGGACUCUUCAAGCAGUAGUACAUUUCAGCCUAGCUGACAAUGAUAAAAAGUAUCCUUGCAUCAUUUCCCUUGUGCUUUCACUUUCGCGUUCUGUAAGUAGUAAUUGUUUGUACUCUUCUCUUUUGUACACCCUUAACAUAAUCAAAAUUAGAAGAUUUUUAGAUCAUUCAGGGGGCUUAUCAAAUUUUCUUUCUAUAUUAUGUCUUCUCAAAAAAAAAAUAUUUCACACAACAGAAAAAUGAUAAAAGCUAUACACUUUAUGAAACCAGAAGGUUCCUGAAG